rnacentral:rRNA from 1 species
CCUACGUGGGGCAGCAGUAGGGAAUAUUGCUCAAUGGGCGAAACCCUGAAGCAGCAACGCCGCGUGGAGGAUGAAGGUUUUCGGAUUGUAAACCCCUUUUGUUAGAGAAGAUAAUGACGGUAUCUAACGAAUAAGCACCGUCUAACUCCGUGCCAGGAGCCGCGGUACUACGGCGGGUGCAAGCGUUACUCGGAAUCACUGGGCGUAAAGAGAGCGUAGGCGGGAGAGCAAGUCAGAUGUGAAAUCCUAUGGCUUAACCAUAGAACUGCAUUUGAAACUGUUAGUCUAGAGUAUGGGAGAGGUAGGUGGAAUUCGUGGUGUAGGGGUAAAAUGCGUAGAGAUCAAGAAGAAUACUCAUUGCGAAGGCGACCUGCUAGAACAUAACUGACGCUGAUGCGCGAAAGCGUGGGGAGCAAACAGGAUUAGAUACCCCAGUAGUC